GCUCACCGAGCUCGGAUGGUAGAGCGCCGCUCUGAAAAGGCGGAGGUUGCCGGUUCGACACCGGCGGUGAGCACGA
rnacentral:tRNA from 1 species